UAAGGAUGCUAUAAUAUUAGGCAGUUUAUAUAAAAAACUUUAAAUGAACAAAGUAUGGGAACAUCAGAAAUGUUAGUUAGUAUUUAUAGGUCUGUAGAGAUUUUCAUAAAAAUUAAAAAGCUUUAGUUAAAUUAGUACCUUUUGUAUAAUGGCCUUUUAAGAGAGUUUGCUUUAUAAGCUUAUCCCGAAUUAAGCGGAUUUUUUAAGGAACGUGAAAGGUUUUCGAUGUGAGAGAUCUUUAGAUUUCUUAAAGGAUGUGAUAUGCAAUAUCGAAGCUUAAGAUAGCUGGUUAAGUGAUAAAUGCCUUUAAGUGCAGCUUUGAAGUAAUAUUUUGUAAUGGUUAAGAUUGCAGAUUAACUUUAAAAGUGAAAAGCCUGGCUAAAGGUCGGGUUUAUUAAUUUUCUUAAAAUUUGUUCUUCGUAGAGAAAAGUUGGAUUUAUAAUGUCUGUUUUGAUAAGAGUAUUUAACAAUUUAUCUCUGUAUAAAAAAGAAUAAUUUAUGGUAUUUAAGAGGUUAAAAAAUCGCUUAAUCUCCAAAAAUGGUCUUAUGGUAAGUUUUCAUGAACAGGAUUAGUAGUAACUGUG
rnacentral:rRNA from 1 species